GUUAAGAUAAAGUGAAUGAAUUUUCAAUCUCCUGCUCAUUUUUUUUUUAGAAUUCACUAACCUUUUAACGUUUAACGCUGGGGCAUUCGACGUUUUAUAUCCUUUUACGUCAAAUUACAAUUCUAAACGACAUUUAAUAAUUGCAUUUAUUUACAAAAGUGCCACCGGUCAUUUUUAAUGUUUGCUAUUAAGUAGUUCGACGUUAAACGCGUGACGUUAUACUCUAUUUUUGCACUAGUGAUGAUUUGUUAAUUUCUUUU
rnacentral:lncRNA from 1 species